rnacentral:piRNA from 1 species
GGAACAAUGCAGAGUCCACCGCCAGGGC